rnacentral:rRNA from 1 species
UACGGAGGGUGCAAGCGUUAUCCGGAUUCACUGGGUUUAAAGGGUGUGUAGGCGGAUAUUUAAGUCAGUGGUGAAAUCUCCGGGCUCAACCCGGAAACUGCCAUUGAUACUAUUUAUCUUGAAUUCUGUUGAGGUGGACGGAAUACAUCAUGUAGCGAUAAAAUACUUAAAUAUGAUGUAGAACACCGAUUGCAAAAACAACUCACUAAACAGCAAUUAACGCUGAGGCACGAAAGCGUGGGGAUCAAACAGG